rnacentral:rRNA from 1 species
CCUACGGGUGGCAGCAGUGGGGAAUAUUGCGCAAUGGGCGAAAGCCUGACGCAGCGACGCCGCGUGAGGGAUGAAGGUCUUCGGAUCGUAAACCUCUGUCAGCAGGGAAGAACGGUCACUGUGCUAAUCAGCAGUGAAUUGACGGUACCUGCAAAGGAAGCACCGGCUAACGCCGUGCCAGCAGCCGCGGUAAUACGGAGGGUGCGAGCGUUAAUCGGAUUUACUGGGCGUAAAGGGCUCGUAGACGGAAUGGCAAGUCAAGGGUGAAAUCCCCGCGCUCAACGAGGGAACUGCAUUUGAAACUGGCAAACUGGAGUAUGUGAGAGGAUAGUGGAAUUCCAGGUGUAGGAGUGAAAUGCGUAGAUAUCUGGAGGAACAUCAGUGGCGAAGGCGACUAUCUGGCACAUAACUGACGCUGAGGAGCGAAAGCGUGGGUAGCAAACAGGAUUAGAUACCCCUGUAGUC